GGGCCCGUGGCCUAGUCUGGAUAAGGCAUUGGCCUUCUAAGCCAAUGAUCCGGGGUUCAAAUCCCCGCGGGCCCG
rnacentral:tRNA from 2 species